rnacentral:rRNA from 1 species
ACGAACGCUGGCGGCAGGCCUAACACAUGCAAGUCGAGCGAGCAUUUCGGUGCUAGCGGCGGACGGGUGAGUAACGCGUGGGAACGUGCCCUUUUCUGCGGAAUAGUCCUGGGAAACUGGGGGUAAUACCGCAUACGCCCUUUUGGGGAAAGAUUUAUCGGAGAAGGAUCGGCCCGCGUUGGAUUAGGUAGUUGGUGGGGUAAUGGCCCACCAAGCCGACGAUCCAUAGCUGGUUUGAGGGGAUGAUCAGCCACACUGGGACUGAGACACGGCCCAGACUCCUACGGGAGGCAGCAGUGGGGAAUCUUAGACAAUGGGGGCAACCCUGAUCUAGCCAUGCCGCGUGAGUGAUGAAGGCCUUAGGGUUGUAAAGCUCUUUCAGCUGGGAAGAUAAUGACGGUACCAGCAGAAGAAGCCCCGGCUAACUCCGUG